rnacentral:rRNA from 1 species
UGGGGAAUUUUGGACAAUGGGCGCAAGCCUGAUCCAGCCAUGCCGCGUGCGGGAAGAAGGCCUUCGGGUUGUAAACCGCUUUUGUCAGGGAAGAAAUCUUCUGAGUUAAUACCUCGGGAGGAUGACGGUACCUGAAGAAUAAGCACCGGCUAACUACGUGCCAGCAGCCGCGGUAAUACGUAGGGUGCAAGCGUUAAUCGGAAUUACUGGGCGUAAAGCGUGCGCAGGCGGUUUUGUAAGACAGAGGUGAAAUCCCCGGGCUCAACCUGGGAACUGCCUUUGUGACUGCAAGGCUUGAGUGCGGCAGAGGGGGGAUGGAAUUCCGCGUGUAGCAGUGAAAUGCGUAGAUAUGCGGAGGAAACACCGAUGGCGAAGGCAAUCCCCCUGGGCCUGCACUGACGCUCAUGCACGAAAGCGUGGGGAGCAAACAGGAUUAGAUACCCUGGUAGUCACGCCCUAAACGAUGUCAACUGGUUGUUGGGAAGGUUCCUUCUCAGUAACGUAGCUAACGC